rnacentral:rRNA from 1 species
CCUACGGGGGGCAGCAGUGGGGAAUAUUGGACAAUGGGGGGAACCCUGAUCCAGCCAUGCCGCGUGUGUGAAGAAGGCCCUCGGGUUGUAAAGCACUUUCAGUGAGGAAGAACGCCUGGUGGUUAAUACCCAUCAGGAAAGACAUCACUCACAGAAGAAGCACCGGCUAACUCCGUGCCAGCAGCCGCGGUAAUACGGAGGGUGCGAGCGUUAAUCGGAAUUACUGGGCGUAAAGCGCGCGUAGGUGGCUUGAUAAGCCGGUUGUGAAAGCCCCGGGCUCAACCUGGGAACGGCAUCCGGAACUGUCAAGCUAGAGUGCAGGAGAGGAAGGUAGAAUUCCCGGUGUAGCGGUGAAAUGCGUAGAGAUCGGGAGGAAUACCAGUGGCGAAGGCGGCCUUCCGGACUGAUACUGACACUGAGGUGCGAAAGCGUGGGUAGCAAACAGGAUUAGAUACCCCAGUAGUC